ensembl:processed_transcript 1810021B22Rik RIKEN cDNA 1810021B22 gene
GUUCUUGAAGCGUCCGUCCGCACCACGGCCUGGAGUCUAGGGAGCCGUCAGCGCACUGGACCGGGACAGAAGCUAGGGAUCAUACGAGGCGCCCUUCUGGUUUCCUUGGAGAAUCGCAUGCCAAGUGGAGAGGCUCAAGGGCAGAACUAAAGGGACAAAAGCUGGCCCAGUCAGCCCCAGGCCAUCAGGACUUCCUACGUGUUCAGCUGCUUGUGACUGAGAGCCCGGAGACUGCGGAGCCAUUCCCCAGCCUGCGUUGCUCGAGCAGGUUCUGUGGCGCCACAGGAUGAGUGGGUGACGUAUCACAGAGUCGGCAGAUGGAGUGCACCUUGGUUUAGCAGAGCUGCUGCAGGAGGGGCUUUUUGAGGAAUGUAGCCCCAUUGGGCCAGGUUCAUUUCACUGAGCCCUGGGUCUGAGGGCGAAGCCCUGCUGUGGACCUUCUGAUGAACAUAAAUGCAUCCUGACUACAACCAGCCAAGAGCCCUCCCUGGAUCCUGCCAGCUCUGUGGUCCCUGAUGAAGAUGUAGCUCUCAGCCCUGAUGAUGCAGCUCCCGUGCCCUGCCUGCCUGCCUGCCACUCAACUCCCUAUCAUACUGUUCAUAGACUUACCCUCUGAAACUACAGCCAAUCCUCCAAUUAAAUGUUUUCUUCUUU